UUUUGGUAAAAUUGGUAUUUUUGGUGUGGUCUUAUGGCUGAGAAACACUAAUUAUUCCCGGUUCAAAUAUCGAUGCUAUCGAUAGAAUGCCAUCGUAUGGGUGGCAACACUAAAUUAAAAAAAAUUAAAAAUUAAAUAAAAUAUAAAAAAAUAGAAAUUCACUACGCCAGUAUCCAAAGCAAUAUUCAUUAAAGAAUUUUAUAUUCCAAAGUAUGGCCAAAUGAAUAAAUAAAAUGAAUGAACACUUGUAUCACAUUAAACAUUUUUGUGUGCAUUCAAUCUGAAUGAGUGAUAAACCAAAUGAAAGCACUAAUCGAACUUCUUCGUUCACUUAAUAUAAAGUGUAGGGCUGAGAAUGCCCGUUCGACGGACACUUGCGUUGCAGGUGUAGCCAGCACAACCUGCGCUAGUGCACUUAUAUGCGGAAUCUUAAGUUGCAAAUCAUUAAAAAAAUCCAAUAUAUUUGAAUUUAAUGGCAAGCGACCAAAUGUUACGUCGAAGUUUUCGAUGACAGCGUAAAUUUUGGCAAGUUUUGAAGAAACAGGAUCUUUUUUGCUUUCUGAAACUGUCUGCGAAUCGUCCAAAAAAGCCGAGAACAGCGUCUUCUCUUCAGAUGAGGAUGCGGUUGAAAGAAUUGACGAGACUGGGGAAGCAAACAUCUCUUCAUGCUCAGGAGUCUCGAGCGCUGGAACAUUUCGUGUUUGUGCCUUGAAUAAUAAAGCGAAAAUAAG